ACGGUGAGGGAUGAAAGCUGGGGGAGCAAACCGGAUUAGAUACCCGGGUAGUCCCAGCUGUAAACGAUGCAGACUCGAUAAUGCAUUGGCACAUAGCCAGUGCAGUGUCGCAGGGAAGCCGUUAAGUCUGCCGCCUGGGAAGUACGUACGCAAGUAUGAAACUUAAAGGAAUUGGCGGGGGAGCACCACAAGGGGUGAAGCCUGCGGUUCAAUUGGAGUCAACGCCU
rnacentral:rRNA from 1 species